AUUGAACGCUAGCGGGAUGCCUUACACAUGCAAGUCGAACGGAGUGGCGAACGGGUGAGUAAUGUAUCGGAACGGGACCAGUAGCGGGGGAUAAAAACGCGAAAGCGUAGCUAAUAACGCAUACGAGUGGAGCGGACGAUAUCGGAUUAGCGAUUUGGUGGGGUAACGGCUCACCAAGGCGACGAUCCGAAGCUGGUUUGGGAGUACGACCAGCCACACUGGGCCUGUGACCCGGCCCAGACUCCUCCGGUAGGCAGCAGUGGGGAAGUUUGGACAAUGGGGGAAACCCUGAUCCAGCCAUCCCGCGUGUGCGAUGAAGGCCUUCGUGUUGUAAAGCACUUUUGGCAGGAAAGCGGUACCUGCAGAAUCAGCACCGGCUAACUACGUGCCAGCAGCCGCGGUAAUUC
rnacentral:rRNA from 1 species